AGAGGGUCGAGCAAGUGUUUCUUCGCCAUAAUAUCUAGACGUUUUCAUCCAUAUUUUCGACAUUUUAAAGCGUCAAAUGGUGGAAAAUUCACCAUAAAGAAAUCUAUGAAACCUUGAAACCUUGAGCUUACCUGGUGCUGUAAUAAACAUCGCCAUUGGGAUAGAUUAUUAUCCGCGAAUUGUCCUUGGUCACCCUGUGGAAGCUGGAUUUCAUUGCGUUGAUGAAGUACGUGUCUGGAAUCCAGAACAAUUUCCUGGCAUCUUCCGCCAUGGUGAAAGCCUUGGUGUAGUUGUGCUUGAAACGUGGGUCAUGCCACCAUUGACGGAAAAAUAUAUCCAUAGUAUAUUCCUACAGAUGAUGAAGAACAAGAGGUCGUAAGGGAUAAGGAUGGUCGUUAAUAAAGUUGUUUUUUUAGAUUCAAGGUCAUUGAAAUGCUAGUUGGGGAACGAGAAUCGAACUUCAAGGGUCGCACUUCAGCGAUAAUGACCAUAGGCAGCCCAAACAAGGUAUUUUGCGAAUUUUGAAAAAAAAGAAACUAAACGGCCUCAAAUCGCGCUGAAACUUCGCCAGACGACAGAAUAAGGUUCAAGCAACGACUGCAGUAAGUUUUGAAGGAAAUAGUUGAGUGAAACAUUUUAUUAUUAUUUUCAUCAUAACUCCAGUGACAUUCCCUUAUAAACCAUACACAGGAACCUUGUUUGGGCUGCCUGUUUUCAGACCAAGUGUCAUCAUAGAACAUCACAGUCUUUGUUAACAGUUACACAUGCUGAGGCACAUAGAUAUGAUUCUUUGUUUGAUACAACUCAAAUUGGAAAACGUGACGCCCCAGCUAAGAGGGUCUAUUGCUUCAUUUAGUCUAUUUAUUGUUAAUACUU